rnacentral:rRNA from 1 species
UACGUAGGUCCCGAGCGUUGUCCGGAUUUAUUGGGCGUAAAGCGAGCGCAGGUGGUUUAUUAAGUCUGGUGUAAAAGGCGGUGGCUCAACCAUUGUAUGCAUUGGAAACUGGUAGACUUGAGUGCAGGAGAGGAGAGUGGAAUUCCAUGUGUAGCGGUGAAAUGCGUAGAUAUAUGGAGGAACACCGGUGGCGAAAGCGGCUCUCUGGCCUGUAACUGACACUGAGGCUCGAAAGCGUGGGGAGCAAAUAGG